GAGCCAGCCAAUCAGCGCCGGCCAGCAUCGUCGCUCGUUCGGCUUACGUCGCGCCCGCUGCCAUGCGCGAAUCCGGUGUCAUCGCGAACGUAGUGCCGCUGCCUGACACGUCUAAGCAAGACAAGAGACAAUGGCGCAAGGAUCUCGAGAAACAGAUGGAGGAGCAGAAGCA